GACAGAGGGUGCAAACGUUGUUCGGAAUUACUGGGCGUAAAGCGCGUGUAGGCGGCCAUCUAAGUCGGGCGUGAAAUCCCACGGCUCAACCGUGGAAGUGCACUCGAAACUGGAUGGCUAGAGUCCUGGAGAGGAAGGUGGAAUGCUUGGUGUAGAGGUGAAAUUCGUAGAUAUCAUUUGGAACGCCAAUGGUGAAAACAGGUAGCUGGGGCUGUGCUGACACUGAGACACGAAAGCCAGGGGAGCAAACGGG
rnacentral:rRNA from 1 species